ACCUGGUGGAUUCUGCCAGUAGUGAUGUGCUUGUCUCAAGG
rnacentral:rRNA from 12 species